GCGUUGUCCGGGUUAGGGUUUGGACAGGGUAGGCCGUCAUUGUAAAUAAGAACUUGUUCUUAACUGACUUGCCUGGUUAAAUAAAAGCCUAGCUAGACUUGAACCAGGACCGACUAGCUGUGCUUGAGGAGACGAGGAUCUCGUCAUAUUCAUCGUCAACUAAAGCCCAGGUACUGGUUCAAGCUAGGCUCAGCUAUCUACCAGCUGUGUUGGCUUCAUCAUUAACUGACAGCAGCUAGUGAAUUCCCAUUUAUUUCCAGCAAAUAAAGGAAAGCUUUCAAGUUAUUUGUUGCCCACAUGUUCAGUUACUGUGUCAGCAUUGGCAACCUUAACCAGUGAUGGAAUUUUGUGUGAGGUAACUAGUUAACUUAUUCUUUUUAUGUCUUUAUAGACAUAGCUACUGCUUGACUAAGAUUAAUCAAUUCCAUUCUUGUUUUCCUCUUAGCCAGAUUAUAUAGGAUAAACAGUCCUGGAAUGUUCACAGACAUGGACUAUGAGUUGGAUGAGGACAAACUGGGGAUCCCUACAGUCCCUGGGACUAUAUCCCUGAAGAAGGAUGCAUCAGGGGAGGGGCGCAGUACUGUCCCUGUCUUUACAUUGUACAGGUCUUUGACAACACCCCUGCUGCUCUGGAGGGGACUCUGGCGGCUGGCGACGAGAUCACAGGAGUGAACGGCAAAUCUGUGAAGGGCAAGACAAAGGUGGAGGUGGCAAAGAUGAUUCAGGCUGGCCAGGUACAUUAACAGGGCUUGGAAUCAACUUGUCAAUACAUUUUGGUUUGAUACUACAAAAUGCUACAAACCAGUUAGUGUAUUUUCUCUAGAUAUUUUUUUGAUAGCCACACAACCCAAACCAUAUACCAACACUGACAAGAUUAACACUUACCAGUAGAUAAAAAUAGAAAGUCCAAAGCCACAGUAUUUUAUCCUGGAUUCUGUAUUUUUUGGCAGUAAAUGACCAGUCAGUCUGAAAAGGGCUGCUGUCACAAUUAGAUGUUGAACAAGAAGGACACCUCAGAGCUAGUGAGAACAGGACAAUAGCCAGGAGUUUGGGCCCUCACGUCACCAGUGUGGAGUGGCAAUGUUGUUUUUAGAAUCCAUUGUGACGACACAGAAAGCUAUGUGAGUUCAAUGACUACGCCACCAUGCUCUGUGUUUAGGAUUAGAGACAUGCUCCACUGUCUAUAUUAAAGGAUUAUAAUGUGC